GGUGAGCUCCGCGAACUUCCAACGAACCUUCCGGCGAGCUUCCGAAAAACCCUUCGGUAAGCUCCAUACUCAUUCUCGGCUAGUUCCGGCAGCAUUCCCGACGAACCUUCGGACUUCCGUCGAACUCUCGAACUCCCAAUGAAUCCUUCGCGCUUGACUCCGCACUUUGUUUCGCUUUAUGUCUUUCUCAUUAUCAUAGUUAUUCCUGCACACACAAACUAAAACUCUACUCCGAUCUAGACAAUUAUUACAACGCGAAUCGACAUUCCGUUGCCCGGCACGUCAUUGGUU
rnacentral:lncRNA from 1 species